rnacentral:rRNA from 1 species
GUAAUCUCUAGAAAUGUUUUCCGCGUUGGACCGCACACAAGUCUGUUGGAAUACAGCGGCAUAGUGGUGAGACCCCCGUAUAUGGUGCGGACGCCCAGCGCUUUGUGAUACAUUUUCGAAGAGUCGAGUUGUUUGGGAAUGCAGCUCAAAUUGGGUGGUAAAUUCCAUCUAAAGCUAAAUAUUGGCGAGAGACCGAUAGCGAACAAGUACCGUGAGGGAAAGAUGAAAAGCACUUUGGAAAGAGAGUUAACAGUACGUGAAAUUGUUGGAAGGGAAACGCUUGAAGUCAGACUUGCUUGCUGAGCAAUCGGUUUGCAGGCCAGCAUCAGUUUUCCGGGAUGGAUAAUGGUAGGAGAGAAGGUAGCAGUUUCGGCUGUGUUAUAGCUCUCUGCUGGAUACAUCUUGGGGGACUGAGGAACGCAGUGUGCCUUUGGCGGGGGUUUCGACCUCUUCACACUUAGGAUGCUGGUGGAAUGGCUUUAAACGAC